rnacentral:rRNA from 2 species
CGUCAAGUCAUCAUGGCCCUUACGACCAGGGCUACACACGUGCUACAAUGGCGCAUACAAAGAGAAGCGACCUCGCGAGAGCAAGCGGACCUCAUAAAGUGCGUCGUAGUCCGGAUUGGAGUCUGCAACUCGACUCCAUGAAGUCGGAAUCGCUAGUAAUCGUGGAUCAGAAUGCCACGGUGAAUACGUUCCCGGGCCUUGUACACACCGCCCGUCACACCAUGGGAGUGGGUUGCAAAAGAAGUAGGUAGCUUAACCUUCGGGAGGGCGCUUACCACUUUGUGAUUCAUGACUGGGGUGAAGUCGUAACAAGGUAACCGUAGGGGAACCUGC